rnacentral:rRNA from 1 species
UACAGAGGGUGCAAGCGUUAAUCGGAAUUACUGGGCGUAAAGGGCGCGUAGGCGGCCAGUUAAGUCGGGUGUGAAAGCCCGGGGCUCAACCCCGGAACUGCAUCCGAGACUGACAGGCUUGAGACCGGGAGAGGAGAGUGGAAUACCCAGUGUAGAGGUGAAAUUCGUAGAUAUUGGGUGGAACACCGGUGGCGAAAGCGGCUCUCUGGCCCGGAUCUGACGCUGAGGCGCGAAAGCGUGGGGAGCAAACAGG